UUCCCAGUCUGGCCAUGGGACAUUGACCACGAUAGACUCAGUGCCCAGGAGCUGCAGAGCCCCCCAGGUAUGCCACCCCCCAAAACAGGAUGCAAAAAGAUGUCUUUGGCAUCCAUCCCCAGUUUGAUUCCAGAUCGGGGCAGAUGGGCUGCUGAAAACUAGAGCCUCAUGGUCCAGCGCCUCUGGCCAUCUACAGUGUUUCCCUGAAGAUGCCAUUUCCCAGCAGUUCGUGUUGGGGGCACAAGCAGAGACACACGGGUCAGAUCCAAUUUGGGGCACAUUGCUAUUGCCCAGAAGGAGAUGGAGAAAAGGAAAAUGGGCUUUUGGGGAGCAAAUGCUGCUUCUCUUCCAAAGCCCACAGCCCAACGCAGAGCUGCUUAGGCCCAGCAGACACAGUCUGCUCCAAUUCUGCUUUAAUGGAUGUCUGGGGAUAUUUAGCACAGAAGCUACACCUUCUUUACAGGGAGUGUAAUGGUAUGGUAUGGUAAUGCACGGUAAUUUUCCUGAAUGCUUCCAUAAGAGCAGGUCUCAGCUGUAACAGGGAACAAGGGAAAAAGCAUGACCCAGAGAUGCAGCCCUCUUGUGAAAUACAACAGUCCUAGCGCUUGAAGGUGGGUUUUUUUGGUCAGUCCAUUAACGAAAGUGUGAAAUAAAUACUAGACUAGACAUUACUUUAAUUGUUAAUGGAUUGAUUUUCAAAGGCUGAAGGAAGGACAGCAGUAAAUCAGUGCGAGACAGCCUGGCUGGACAGCUCAGGAGUCUACGGGAAAAGAGUGUUUGCAGAUUCAGCUCUGCUCCUCUCCGCUGGCUCCCACCCCAAUAAAUGCACUUAGCCCUUCACAUAUUCAUUUUAUGUUCAUUCAGUGCAGCAAAUACAGCAUGUUCACCUAUUUGUCUUGUUGGGGUCCUUGUUUUGACUCGAUACAGCCUAGUGCUUUGGAAUGACUGCUGUAAAAGGGGAUCAGGAUUGCCACCUUGAACUACUGACAGCCAAGACAUGUUUUGUGUCUGGGACUAAAACUCUUCCAAAAAUUCUCCUCUUCUGUCCAUCUAGCAUCUUCACACUGUUCAGCCCUGUCCUCUUGCACAGGAAAAAGCCCCGGAUGUUCAUGCCACACACCUUCAGUCCCAAUCCUGCUGUUUCACCUGAUUUCACCCCAAUCCUAAUUCAACCAUGAAGAGAUCUGUCCUUCCAGAACAUCUCAUGGUCAAGAGCAGGAGACUUGCCAGAUUUCUUCCCUAUCAGAAGUCUUCCCCCUGCCCAUUGGGACCUAUGCACCAAGGCUGAGAAGGAAGGCCACCAAGAUUUCAUCUGCAUGACCCAAAAGGACUUCUCCCUGCCUAUUUCUUAGAAAAACAGAUCAACUCUUCUCCUUGAAGAUUUCUAUGCAGACAGCAAUGUAAACAAAGCCAAAAAAGAAAAAGCCAAAAAUGCAAUCCUUCUUCCAGAUGGUGAUUGCCCAGAAAGCACGCACGAAGGCAGCAGGUGACACGCCAUGAAUAGAUGCUGGAUUUACAAGAAAGUGUCCAGAGCAUCAACGUCUCCCAAAGCCAUGGAGUUACAACGCCAAGAAAUAUAUCAGCUCCUGCUACAUUUUCCUGGGACCACACAACAGCAGAAGAAAGAGCCAUUCAGCUCCCAAAACCUGAGCACAACCUCACAGGAAGAGUUGCUUGAGUCCUAUUCCAGUCUCUCCCAUGUUUCCAGCAUGCCUUCUUCAUGCCCUUCGGUCACGUCCAAAAGACAGCAGCCACCAAGAUCAGAGGUCCCACAGCCCCUUAAGCUACAAAGCCCAUGGUAAGGAGAAUAACCGGAUCCACUUAAUGCCAGCAGCUGCCUGCAUUUCGAAGAACACUGUGUGCAGCAGUGAGCCUGAUCCUCACUACUUACAGGUAAUUAGAGUGGAUCGUGCUUUCACCAAAAAUUCAUUUAGAGCAAAAUCCCUCAAGCCCUAACAGGAAAAAAGGGAGUACACAAUGCUACCCACUUCACUGAUAUUUUAUUGUUUGCCAUCAUUAUUUGGAAUUUUCCAGGGACUGAUCAUUUCAGGUUAUUGUGGACGAGGCCAUUAAAAAUCCUGUCUGCAA